UACGUAGGUGGCAAGCGUUGUCCGGAUUUAUUGGGUUUAAAGGGUGCGUAGGCGGUUCCAUAAGUCAGUGGUGAAAUACGGCAGCUCAACUGUCGAGGUGCCAUUGAUACUGCGGAGCUUGAGUGUUGAUGAGGCAGGCGGAAUUGACGGUGUAGCGGUGAAAUGCUUAGAUAUCGUCAAGAACACCGAUAGCGAAGGCAGCUUGCCAAGCAACAACUGACGCUCAGGCACGAAAGUGCGGGGAUCAAACAGG
rnacentral:rRNA from 1 species